rnacentral:rRNA from 1 species
GACGAACGCUGGCGGCGUGCUUAACACAUGCAAGUCGAACGGAAAGGCCCCUUUGGGGGUCCUCGAGUGGCGAACGGGUGAGUAACACGUGAGUAACCUGCCCUUGACUUCGGGAUAACUUCAGGAAACUGGGGCUAAUACCGGAUAGGAAUCCUUGCUGCAUGGGGGGGGUUGGAAAGCUUCGGCGGUUUUGGAUGGAUUCGCGGCUUAUCAGUUUGUUGGUGGGGUAGUGGCUUACCAAGGCUUUGACGGGUAGCCGGCCUGAGAGGGCGACCGGCCACAGUGGGACUGAGAUACGGCCCAGACUCCUACGGGAGGCAGCAGUGGGGAAUAUUGCACAAUGGGCGGAAGCCUGAUGCAGCAACGCCGCGGGCGGGAUGACGGCCUUCGGGUUGUAAACCGCUUUCAGCAGGGGCGAAGCUUGUGGUGACGGUACCUGCAGAAGAAGCACCGGCUAACUACGUG